rnacentral:lncRNA from 1 species
AUAAAAGAAAAACAAAUGAAAUAAAAGAAUAGAAAAAGAGAAAGAAGAAAACAGGGGAAGAAAAAGGGGAAAGGAAAGAAAGGGGGAAAAUUGAGAUUUUGAAGCUUGAAGUUUAAUAGGUAAGCUAAAUUAAGUCCUUUUCUCAUAAAUUUGAUGUUUUUUGGAAUCCUAGAGUGAAAUACUCUUGGAUUUAAGUUAAAAAUUUGAAAGUUAAUAGAUUUUUGAGUAGGGUUUAUGUUGAAUAAAUGAUGGAAUUGAGGGUUUAUUUGAUAGAGUUUCUAGUUAGAGUAGAUAAAAGGAUUAAAUUGUGAAUUAAACUAUAAGUUUUGAAUUUUAGGGAUUAAAUUGAGGAAAAUUCGAAAUUAGUGAAAAAUGCUGAAAAAAAAUUAGUAGAUAAAUUUGAGUUUGGAAGAAAUUUGAAUAGAAAUAGUGUGUGAAUUAAAUUAGAAAAGUAAAUAAAUUUAGUUAGGAUUAAAUUGGAAUUAAAGUAUAAAUUAGAUAGAAUUUCUAUUAUUAUUAUAAAUUAAUAUUGUAAUUAAUAGUGUAAAUUAUUAUUAUUUUCGUAGCUAACAAGGAAAACAAGGCAUCGACAUCCAAAGGAAAAGAAAAGAUCGUUGAGGAGUAAACGCGUAUUCCGGGUUUGUAUUACUAUAACUUAAUCUAUUUAAUAAAUGCUAUAUUGAAAUUGUAUUCAUGAGACAUUUAAAGUAAAGUAAGUGAUAACAUUUGAAAUUAGGUAAGAAUAUAUGUAAAUAUUGAAUUAUAUGUGAAUUGAAAUAAUAGAUGUUUUGAAUUGUUUGAGUAUUUGAAAUUGUUGUGGAAAUAAAUUCGAAGUUUGAACAGUAAAAUAAUACCCUAUUAACUUAUCAGACUAGAUUGGAUACAAAUGGCAUGCCAUAGGAUUUGUGAUGUGAUAAGGAGAUUUGUAGUUCGGCCAAGAAGAUGAUUCUGUUAUUAUAUGUUUCAGUUUAUCCGAAGAGGCAAUUAAUGCCUUAUUGGUGUGUUUGGCAGGAUAUGAUAUACUGGUGUGUUAUGGAGGAUUUAAAUAAUUUCGGGUGUGUUUAGGUUGGAUAUUCUGGUGUGUUUGGGUGGAAUCCUCGUAUCUGUAAGAGUCCGAGCCUUGUUAAUAGGGUAAAUAAUUGGAAUGAAAAUUUGAAAAUGAAAUUUGUUGAUUUGUCACUAUAGAAAAAUACGAGAAAGAGUGCACGAGUUAAAUUAUGAAUUGAAUUAGUAUGUAAAUAUAUAUAUUUAAAAUUUAUGGAAUGAUAUAUGAAUAUGUAUAUUUAGUUUAAAGUGAUUUAUAAAGCUUAUGGUCAAUAUUUAAAAUUUUAUUAUUAUUAAAUAGUUUAAUUUAUAGUAAUACCACUGAGUAUAAAAAUACUCAGCAUACGGUUGUUUCCGUGCGCAGGUUGUAGAAGUCAAGUACUGAUCCAGCAUCCAAAACUAGACCCGACUUCAGCAAAUUUUGGUGAUGUAUAUUUUCUUUUGGUAAUGUGGCAUGUACAUAGGAUGUGUAUAAACGUUAUUAUGUUUUGAAUAUAAAUAGUUAAAAAUGUUAGUAUUAUAAAUCUAAGAAUUUUAAUGAAAGAAAUUUAUCCAUUCCAAUUUAAUUAGUACAUUGAUAAAUUUAAAUUGAUAUUGAAUUAAUUGAGUUUGAUUAGAAUGUAUUUAGAAUAGAAAAUGUGAAUGUGAAAUGAAUUGGUUGAAUUGGUUAUGUUUGGAAAAGUUAUGGUUUUAUUUGCAGGAGGUUUAAUGUAAAAAUAAGCAAAAAUGCUGCCGAAAUUUUUAUACCCAUUCAAGCCAUGAAAGUGAUUAUAAAACAUGGCCUCUGAGACACCUUUCCUGGGUUGAUCGAAGAGCUGCUAACAAAAGGGCGAGGACAGGAUUAACAAUAAAAUAGCCGUGGACGGAUGGAAAGACCGGAGACCAGAGACCGAAAGAAAACAUCCAUUUUUUUUAAAAAAAACAGAGAUGAAUGUAGACGGAUUGAGCCAAUGUUUUCAAAAAUUCCAAUACCAUAAGCGGAUUCAACUUCUAUUUAUUAUAGAUUUUGCACCUUCAAAAGAGAUCGAAAGGAAGGCCAUAUUGAAUUACAGAAAUCCAUGAAUGUGUACUUCUUGCU